CCAAUGUGCUGUCCUCUCGGAGGACUGUACACGGGUACAGGAAAUUCGAACUUGCGACUUCCUGAACCGGAGUCAGCGGCUUUACGCGCUAUGCCACUCAAACUCCACGGGGACGCAGCUCUGCCGCGAUGCCUCCUUGGGGAUCUGUGGACGCACUGGCACAGAAAUCGACUGCAUAGAUCACCUCCUCGCUCCGCCUUCGCUGCGCCGGUGUCGCACCCUGUGGCACCUGCAGUGGGCGCCACCGCCCGCGAAGAAGUUGUACCUGGACUGCGCAUUGCUCAUUGUGUUGUGCUAAGACCGCGUGGCCUAACGGAUAAGGCGUCUGACUUCGGAUCAGAAGAUUGAGGGUUCGAGUCCCUUCGUGGUCGGUGCUGUUUUGGUCGAUUGAUCCUUGGCCAGCGGCAUGACAAUACUGAGUCCCCUCUCCUAGUUCCUCUGCCCGCUGACAUCUAUCUUCUAAGAAGCUUGGAGGUUCGCGCCGCUAGACCACCCUAGGUCUGAGCCGGCCCUUCCCAAUCGUCUCGUCUUGCUCUUUAGCUUUUCGCGUAGCACGGCUGUGUACCCUCUGGUUCUCUGGCUGUCCCGCCGCGGCGACCUGUACUACGUUCUGGCCUAGGAGUACGCAGUCCUGCCGCAAGCGUGACGGAGAAUUGUGACAUUUGUGCACGUGGCAUUACCAUGGACCACGUGGGCGCUGUGUUUUGUCGUGCCCCAGUGGCCUAAUGGAUAAGGCACUGGCCUCCUAAGCCAGGGAUUGUGGGUUCGAGUCCCACCUGGGGUGAUGUACGUGGCCUUUCCCUAAAGGUAAUUUUGGUUCUGCGAAUGGGCAACCAGGGGCUCCAGUCCACGUGAUUUGGACCAUGGGCACUCCUCCGCCUCCGGAGCCUGCCUGCCUUCUUGACAGUCCCCGGUCGUUUGCAGUACUGCUGUCUAGCCUCGGCCUGCGAAUUGUAGAAAAGUUGACAGAGACUCUGCUCGUCCUCCUGCACCCUGCACCUCCCAGAGGCAACCUCACUCCCAGCUGCAGGGCUCCGGCCCCUCUCCUGGGCAUCGGCACCUGGGCAUUCCUUCUCGGGCCCCACAUAGCCAGCUUCUCCCAGGUGACACCAUCCUCCUCAUCCGACUGCCCUCCCAGCCUGCUCCCUCGGUCAUGUUACCAUACAGGAAUCCAUUUUUUUCUGUUCAACUGAUCGGAUGUCAAAUCUCUGCAAGAAUGGACUUGGUUCAUUGCUGAUUCCCCCGGGAACUCACCCGGGGCCUCGUGGACCAAUGAAUGUCGCGCUUCCUUGGUCCCCAGGGGGCUGGCUCUCUUCAGGACCAGGACCACGUCUUUCACAUCUUCUAGGUUUCCUAAGCCAUUUAUCGAAGACUUUCCCCCUUUGUUUACACGCACGCGAAUGAGGUCCCUGCUCCCAGAUCGUGUAGGCGCUACUGCUGUCUAUUACACUGCAUUUAAAGCACUGCAAUGCAUUGUUUGUCAAAUGAGUGAAGUAGGUCAAGAUAAUAGAGAAUGUUCUACGGAAUUCGUACAUUCUAGAGUAACCUACUCUUACGCUGGCCUGGGUGCUCCCCCGCCCACGGGAUUGCAAAACCCUUUUUCUAGUUCCAACCCACUCUUUCCCUGCCCCCACAACCCCAGGGCCUACAACGGCACCUAACACUUGACAUUCCUUCCCACUCAGGUGGUCCCCUGCUCCGUGUCUCUUAAAACCUAACCCGCCUGACCUGAAUGUGAGGAUCUCCACACUGAGCGUCUGUCUCCCUCCAGACUUAGCUCCCAUGAGCCCCUGCCUAAAGCCACCAUUCGGACGGCUUCCUCAUGGUCUCGCCGCCCCCAGCCUUCUCUUUGGCCCCCUUUAUCCAUACUGUUCCCUUCAGCUGGCACGUGCUCCGCCCCUUUGUCCUGACGGAAGGGCUGCACCUUCGUCAAAGCCCCCCUCUGACGCCCACUCGCCCGCCUCAGCUUCUAACCGCACGUGUGCUCCUUGAAGGCAGACACCGCGCUCGCUCCUGUCCCGCCGGCUGCGACACCUA